rnacentral:rRNA from 1 species
UACGUAGGGCGCAAGCGUUGUCCGGAAUUAUUGGGCGUAAAGAGCUCGUAGGCGGUCUGUCACGUCUGCCGUGAAAACCCGAGGCUUAACCUCGUGGCUUGCGGUGGAUACGGGCAGACUAGAGGUAGGUAGGGGAGAACGGAAUUCCCGGUGUAGCGGUGAAAUGCGCAGAUAUCGGGAGGAACACCGGUGGCGAAGGCGGGUCUCUGGACAGUUCCUGACGCUGAGGCACGAAGGUCAGGGGAGCAAACGGG